rnacentral:rRNA from 1 species
UACGGGGGGAGCAAGCGUUGUUCGGAUUUACUGGGCGUAAAGGGCGCGUAGGCGGUCAGCACAAGUCAGUUGUGAAAUCUCCGAGCUUAACUCGGAAAGGUCAACUGAUACUGUGCGACUAGAGUGCGGAAGGGGCAACUGGAAUUCUUGGUGUAGCGGUGAAAUGCGUAGAUAUCAAGAGGAACACCUGCGGCGAAGGCGGGUUGCUGGGCCGACACUGACGCUGAGACGCGAAAGCGUGGGGAGCAAACAGG